rnacentral:lncRNA from 1 species
UUUAAUCUAGAUGCAAUUUACCUAAAUGUAUGAAUGAAUGGCUUUAGCGACGAAAACAAUCAACAUUAAAUGGCCUAGGAUAAUUAUAUUAAUCAAUUCAAUUUACUUUAUCAUGCUUAACAAUGUUCAGAAAUACUUCCACGGAAACUUGAUCUUUCAUGAGUUUGAAAACUAAAUUAAGUCCUUUCAGAGUCUUUUACUUAGUUAAAUAUGAAUUUUAUUGAUCAUAUUAACUAAGGGUUUCUUAGCAUUUAUGUAAGGUCACGAAGAUGAAACAGUUUAAUUACAUAAACCUAAAAAAUAUGCAAGAUAAUAGAGCUAACUAAAGAUAUUAUGAACCUCAACUUAGUCGGGUUUAAUGAUCUAAAUUGAGUAUUGCACUUUUCAAUUAUGUAUCUACUAGCCAUCAUCUAGUUAGGAUCGCUCAACUAAUCUGAGUGCACCCAAUCAUGUAUGAAUGAAAUGCAUCAUGAUAUUAAUUGAAAACAUAAUAGACUGAGGCCUAAACAUAUUAAACAUGAAUAAAAUAGAUCUUAUUGAAUUAACAUAAUCAUCCUAGCAAAUAGGAUUUAAAAUAUCAUUGUUGAUGUCAAACAUAAUAAACUCAAAGCAAACAUGAUUAAAAUAAAUAACAAGAGGAAAGAGUAAACUCUAUUCAGUUCAGCAGCCAUUCAGAUCUAUUCUGACUAAUGUGCUCCUCUAUUCUACUCGAUGCUCUUUUGCUAAGGAGUUUCUAAGGUGGUCGGCCAAGGAAUACUUUUAACAAAGCUUUUGUGGCUAAAGGAUGGAAAGGAGAUGGGCAGCUAUGCAAAGGAAAGGAAAAGGGAAAUGAAAUGUAGAGAAAAUGCUAAUGAGAGAAGUGAAAUGCGUUUUAAGGGAUAAGGGAUGCUUUGAAAAGUGAUAGGUGCAUGGUAUUUAUAUGUGAAGGUAAGGGGUAGAGUUAGCUAAAAAUAGAUUUCAAAUCCCUUCCUUUUCUAUCACACAUGGCCAACCACAUUUCAAAGAAAAAGGGAUGAUUUGGUCUCCUCAUUUUGGAUUCAAACUAAGGCUAUUCAUAGUCAUAGGGUCGACGGUUUCAACAGUGAAGUAGUUGGGCUAAUUUCUAAUUAUUUUCCAUCUAUAAGGACCUUCAAUUGAAUACCCCAAAGCUUGUUUUUGGGCUUCCAUCUACUUGUGUCGAAACUAGGCUUUAGUUCUCCUUUGUUGGAUGGUUUCUCAGUCCAAUAAUGUAGCAGACAUGUCCAUCUUUUAGCACCACUUUUAUUGGGUCAAAUUACCAACCUCAUGACCCAAAUUGCAUUGUCUUGUCAUCUACAUGAAUUAGAAACAAAAACAAUCAACAUUAAAUGGGAUAGGAUAAUUAUAUUAAUCAAAUCAACUUACAUUCAUCGUGCUAACAUGUUUGGAAUUACUUCCAUGGCAACUCGAUCCCUUAUGGGUUUAGAAACCAAAUUAAGUCCUCACAGAUCUUUUACUUAGUUAAAUAUGCAUGUUAUUAAACACAUUAGGCUAAGGGUUUCUUAGCAUUUAUGCAAGGUCACAGAUACAUUUACGUUUACAACAAUUUAAUUACAUAAAACUAAAAACCAUGCAAGAUAAUAGAGCUAACUAAAGAUAUAAUGAGCCUUAACUUAGUCUGUUUUAAUGACCUAAAUUAAGCAUUGCACUUUUCAAUUAUGCAUCUACUAGCCGUCGUCUAGGUAUGAUCGCUCAGCUAAUCUAAGUGCACCUAAUCACGUAUGAAUUAAAUGUAUCAUGAUAUUAAUGGAAAACAUAAAUUAAAUAAAUCUCAUUAACUUAAUAUAAUUAUCCCUGCAAAUAGGAUUUAAAAAUUCAUAGUUGAUGUAAAAAGCAUAAAACUCAAAUCAAACAUGUCAAAACAGAUAAUCAUGAAGAAAGAGUAGACUCAGUUCAGCAGCCUUUCAAAUCUGCUCUGACUGAUGUGCUCAACUUUACUCAGUUCAGCAGCCUUUCGAAUCUAUUCUAUCUAUUCUAGUUGAAGCGCUCCUCCGUUCUGAUUGAAACUUCUUUUGCUAAGGGUUUAAAAGAUAGCCAGCUAAAGAGUGCUUUUGACAAAGCUUUUGAGCCUAAAGAAGGGAGAGGGGAUGGAGGCUAUGCAAGGGAAAAAGAAUUGAGAGAAAACCAGAGUGAGUGAGAGAGGAAUGUUGAGAAAUGAGGGAUGAUGGAAAAGUGAGGAAUGGAAAGGUAUUUAUAGGUAAAGUAAGGGUUUGAGUUUACUAAAAAUAGGUUUAAAUUUUCUUCCUUCCCUCUCUCAUGUGGUCACCCAUGCUUCAAGGAAAAGGGAUGACCAAGUCUUCUCAAUUUGAAUUUGAAUUUCAAGCUAAAAAUAGCUAUAGAGUGGACGGUUUCAAUAGGGAAGUUGUUGGGCUGAAUUCUGAUUAUCUUCCAACUGCAGAAACCUUCAAUUAAAUAUCCCAAAACACAUUUUUGGCAACCAACAUCAAGUUUCAAAAUUGGGCUUUUAAUUCUCUUUGUUGGAUGGUUUUUUCAGUCUAAUAACUUAGCAGACAUGUCCAUCUUUUAUCACCUUCUUUACUGGGUCAAGUAGUCAACCCCAUGCCCAAAAUUACAUGGUCUUGCCAUCCACAUGGAUAAUUUGUGCAUGGCCAUCUUUUAUUUAUUUAAAUCAUGUCUCCAAUAGACCUCCUACAUAGUGAAAAGUACAUACAUUAAUAAAUUAAGAUAAAUUAAUACAAAAUAUGCAUGAAAAUCAUGUACUUAAGCAUAAUUUCACAUACUUUCUAAGUUCAUGUCUAAAAUUACUAAUUAAGUAAAAUUCACUUAUUUCAAUAAUAAUUACUCGAGAUAAACAUAAUAAUUAAGUAAAAAGAUGGUAAAAACAUAUAGAAAAAAACCUAUAUAAUUUUGAGUUUACAAUAUUCUAUCAAUUGAUUAAAGGUGAAAAUCCAAAGCAAAUCCCUUUGAAUCAUACUUAUUUUUGGAUUCAGAUUCAUAAUUUGUCGUAUGGAGCUAUAUCAGAGGGAUUGGCAAGAACAUUGGGGGAGUUCAUUGGACAGUUCAUACAGUAUGAUGCUGUAUUAAUUUCUAAAGGGGAACGAAGAUAUAUGAGAUUUCGCGUAAAAUUCGAAGUAAGAUUAGCGCUGAAAAGGAAGAAAAAACUAUCAUUGGGACAAAGAAAGAAAGGAUAUGCAUGCUUUCAAUACGAGAGGCUCUUAUUAUUUUGUUUACUAUAUAGAAAAUUGGGGCAUGAGGAAGGGAUUUUCCCAGUAAGAAAGACAAUCGAUACUCAAGAGGUCAAAUUUGGAUGGGAUCUAUCCCUAAAAACACCUACGAGGAACGAGUUACUUGUCGAAAGCAAAUGGCUAAGAGAAAAAUGGCCAGGCAGGUUCCAGGGAAGGAAUAACUUCAUUGGCAUAAAAAUUUAUAGAAGGAAAAAAUGAAGGUUAGACAAAUAUGUAACAUCUCAAGGAAACCGGGUUAUAAAACAAAGGAAAACCAUGCAGGAGAAUACAACAAUCGAUAUUUGUGAAGGAAAGAAAUGUCAACGAACAAGACAUGAAAACUACAAUAAAAGGGAGGAUUUGAAAGCUAUGAUUCAAUCUAUUAAUAUAUCAACGACCACUAGUAAGCGUGCUAAUCGAGUGUAAUAAAAAAUCUUAAGUUGGAAUGUUCGUGGAUUAGGGCAUCCACGAGCGAUUAAUCGCCUCCGGAACAAGGUGAGGUAUGUAUAGCCCCAAAUUUUGUUUCUAAUAGAAACAAAUUUAAGUGAUAAAAGAAUGGAUAAAGUUUGUGUAAGAUGUGGGUUUCACAAUGAAAUAGAUGUUGGUGCGCAAUGAACCAAAUGAAAAUUAUCUGUUGGAUGGAAAAUGGAGCAUGAAGUGCAACUGAGAAAUUAUUCAAUCAAUCAUAUCGACGUGAUAGUUAAAGAGAAUGAGGGAAUGUUGUUAUGGAGACUCAUAGGGUUUUACAGUGUGCUAGAAAAAUAGAAUAGAAGGGGAGCUUGGAGCCACUUAAGGAGAUUGGGGAAUUAUCAAGGUUUGUCAUGGAUAGUCAUUAGAGAUUUCAACAAAAUUAUGUUAUCUUUUGAGAAGAUGGAUGGUAGGUUAAGAAGUGAUAGAAACAUGGCCCGAUUCUGUAAGACAUUGGAAGAAUGUACUCUUAAUGACCUAGGUUUUUUCGAAAAAUGGUACACUUGGGAAAAAGGCAAGUUGCUAGAAAAUAAUGUGCGCGAAAGACUCGAUAGUGGUGUGGCAAAUCAGGCAUGGUAGGAAUCUUUUCCAGGGUACUCUCUAAAACACUUAACGCACUCUAUUUCCGAUCAUUGCCCAUUAUUAGUUAAUAUGGUGAUUGAAGAUAAUAGGAUUCGUAUGGAGCGGAGCUUUCAGUUCAAUGCAAAUUGGAUCUUAGAAGAAGAAUGUGAACAAUGAAUAAAAUCCCUUUGGGAGGGGAAUUCAAAGGAGGUGUCUACAAAACUCCAAAUACUAAGAGAAGCACUAGAUGUGAAAAUGGGGAGACUCAUGACUAGUAAAAAAAAAGAAACCCACUUUUUGACUAAAAGAUUAGUUGAAUUGAGUUCAAUGGAUUCAGAUGACGAAAUGCUUACAGAGUUGGAAGAAGUCAAAUUGGCUUUAAACUUAGAAGCUGAUAAAGAAGAACUAUUCAAUGAGCAAUGAGCAAGAGCGAAUUGGAUCAAAUUUGGAGAUAGAAAUACAUCAUUUUUUUCAUAAUUUAGCAAAUUAGCGAAAUAAAGGAAUAGGGUAAGAAAGCUAAGAGGACCAAAUAGGUAGUGGCUUGUAACCAAAGAAGAGAAAUUAAAGAUCGCAAUAAAUUACUUCAAAGAGCAUUUUAAGGAAUCAAAUACAAGGAAUGAUGAAAGGAUGUUACCAGGGUUUACCAAUUGUAUUAACAAAAAUAUGAACAGGGCGUUAACAAAGGAACUUCGAAUUGAAGAAAUCAUAAUAACAAUAAACAAUAUAGCACAUUUGAAGGCUUCUGGAGUGAACAGCUACCCCCACUUUGUUUUACCAAAAGUACUGACAUAUUGUGGAAGAAGAAACAGCGAGUUUCUGCUUGGACAUAUUAAACAGGAGGAAGGAGUUCGAUGAUAUCAACAGUACAAGUACUGUACUUAUUCCAAAAGUCAAUCAACUAAAUAGUAUGACACAAUUCAAACCAGUCAGCUUAUGGAACGUGGUGUAUAAAAUUAUUUAUGAAGUUAUGGUUAAUGGAUUCAAAUCAGUAUUAGACAUUUUCAUUGACAAAGCACAAGCAGCCUUUGUUCCAGGGAGAUGGAUCACAGAUAAUGCAAUAAUCGCUUAUGAAAUACUACAACAGAGGAUGAUGAAGAGAAGACAAAAUAAAUGAACAUUGAAUCUAACCAGGAAAAAGAAGAAGUGAACCAUAUUCCUGCACUAACUGAACCUGCUACUACACCUCAAUCAACUGUGCCCAUAUUGAAGCAAGAUCAUGAGAUUAAUCAACUGAUUGAUGAUCUCACUAAAUUAGAUGAUAAUGAUGAAGAAGAGGUUCCAAUGAAAAGGAAGCAGCAUUACAAGUGCGUUGCUCGAAAAACAACUCUCCCUAAUUAAAAUAAUAUUAAAAUUUUCCCAAGCUUUCAUCUUUAUUUUCAUUUGCAUAUUUUUCAUUAUAUGCCAUGUGUUUUUCAUGCAUUCAUAAUUGUUGUCAUUGCAUUUUACAUAUAUAUAUUUAUGUAUAUGUUUGUUUUCGCAUUCUGGAAUUUUAAAUUGUUCAUGCAUUGAGGACAAUACAUCCCUUAGGUUUGGGGGUAUGUUGUGUUGUGCAUAUAGUCUCAUUAGAAAUGUGUUUUAAUAUUUGUUCAUUUUGUCAUUUAUUUUACCAUGACAUACAAAUGCCAAAUAACUGUCAGACUAUGACAAGUAUAUUGUUAUCUAUGAUGUUCGAUAAGGAUAAUAACUCUUUAAUAAAUUUAGAAAAUUGUGAUAGUUGAUUAGGUAUGUUUAACUUAGUUGUUUGAAAAUUGAUCCCUAAAUCCCUAAAAUUGAUCCCUAAUUAUAAUUACAAUUAGUCUAUAGUAGGUUUCUUUUAAUACAUAUAGAAAUUCUUGAGCCUAAGAUAAGCAAUGUGUAAUAAGAAAUACCACGGCAAAGCUGAGGGUAAAUCAAUAAGAAAAUUAAAAAGACACUAUGAAGCACUCCAGUGUUUGAGAUUUUUGAGUAGGUCACUAACACUCUGUUUGCUCCAUUAUAUUAUUGAUUAAAAAAGAAAGAUCAAAUAAGAGUGAGUAAAAAAAAAAAAAGAAAAAAAGAGAGAACAGUUUAGAGGCACUCCACUGUAGUAGUAGUAGACUGAGUAGCUAAGGGGGUAGUUGUUUGCUCCUUCUAUCUUUUUAGUCAAAAGCCUUAGCUUCAUGAGUGAAUUACAUUCAAAUUGUAGCAUGAUGUAAUAUCUGAAAAUCUAGUGUAUGUUCCAUUAAGAUUGUCAAGUAAAGAAAUCAUGUGACAAAAUGAAUUCCCUAGGAAAAAAUAUAAUUAAAGUAGGCAAUGACAAGAUAAUUAUGAGAAGAGACACUGAGUUUUAGGAGAAACAUAAAAUAUGUAUAUUAGAGAAUGCUUGCUAUAGUCAGCACUAUGUGAAUAUUUAGUAAAUUUUAAUUUUAGGUAACACUUUCUGCACUUCGUAUGCUAUUUCUGAGAUAGAAGACUGCUAGAAUGGAGGUAUAAAAGAAGACUUCUAGAAUGGAGGUAUAAAAUAUACUUCAGAAAGUUUAGUAGCAUAUGAGGUAAUUAUAGUGUUAUAGAAAAUUCAUGCAUACUUACACAUAUUCUACUUGAGGACAAGUAAGAAUUCAGGUUUGGGGGUGUGAUAACUCUUGAAAAAAGUUAUAUUUCUAGCAUCUAAACUUGAUUAAAUGUAUGUACUUAAAUAGAUAUAUUUUCAUUUUUAGGUUAAUUUUAGAACAUUGCAUAAUAACACUUAGAUUAUGUCUUGAAUGUAAUUUUAUGUUAGUUUUCCUGUUGGGAGAAAGAGAACUGGUUGUUGUAUGCAGCAGGUGCAGAAAAGAUAAAGAAAAUGAGAAAAAGAAUAAAAGAAGUGAAAUAUUGCCAUGGCUAAAGGUUGGAUGGAUUGCCAACAUAAAUGCCAUGGCAAUUCCAGGAUAAUGCUGAGAAAUCUUGAAAAGAGUUAUAUUUCUAGCCUCUAAACUUGAUUAAAUGUACAUACUUAAGUAGAUAUAUUUGCAUUUUUAGGUUAAUUUUAGAACAUUGCAUAAUAACACUUAGAUUGUGUCUUGAAUGUAAUUUUAUGUUAUUUUUCCUAUUGGGAGAAAGAGAAUUGGUUGUUGUAUGCAAUAAGUGCAGAAAAGAUGAAGAAAAUGAGAAAGAGAAUAAAGGAAGUGAAAUAUUGCCACAGCAAAAGGUUGGAUGGAUUGUCAACAUAAAUGCCAAGGCAAUUCCAGGAUAAUGCUGAUAACUCUUGAAAAAAGUUAUAUUUAUAGCCUCUAAACUUGAUUAAAUGUAUGUACUUAAGUAGAUAUAUUUGCAUUUUUAAGUUACUUUUAGAACAUUGCAUGAUAACACUUAGAUUUUAUCUUAAAUGUAAUUUUUAUGUUAUUUUUCUUGUUCGGAGAAAGAGAAUUGGUUGUUGUAUUGUAACAGCUCGAUUUUGGGCCUAGUCGGAAUAAUGGUUUUGAGACCACAAAUUCGAUAUAAUAAAAUUUAUUUUUAUUAUAUUUUUAUGGUUUACGAUUUCAUGAAAUGAUUUCAUGAAAAUUUCAUUUAAAAAUUUUGACGUUCGGGAACUCAAUUUAGUCAAAAAGACUAAAUUGUAAAAAUUACAAAACUUGAGUUCUACAUGUUAGAGGUGUCCAAUUGUUAUGAAAUUUUGAAUUGGAGGUCCUUAAAUGGAAAUUAGACCAUUGGUUAAUUUUUUGGACAAAAAUAGACAUGGUUAGGCAUGUUUCCAAAUUUUUCAUUAAAGCCAUUUUGGUCAUUUAGUUAUUAAAAUGAAUUAAAAGCAAAUUUAAAAACCAAUUUUUUUCCAUCUUCAACCCCUUGGCCAAAACUUGCAUGGAGAAAUCAUGGCUAGGGUUUUUUCAACUUUCCAAGCUCCAUAGUAAGUCCGGUCUUGCCCCGUUUUUAAUGAUUUUCACGUUUUUGAAAUCCUCAUAAUAAAAUUUAUCUAUUUCUACCCUUGAUUGGAAGUAGGGUUCAUGUUUAAAAAUUUACCCAUGUGUGACAUAUGUGUAUUUUGAUGUUUGAUGGAAUAUGAAAGUUUGUUGUGUGUUAAAUGACUUUUACUAAGUAGUUUUCGGUAAAAAUGCCUAAAAUGACUAAUUUGUAAAAGUUAUAAAAUUUGUCAUAAAAAGGUGAUUUAGUGGAAAUUAUGGCUGCUAUAGUUAUGAAAAUGAUUCUACUAGGCUUGUAUGUUAAAUAAAUUGAAUGAAAAUCAUUUUAUGAGCCUAGAGGAAAAAGUGUAAAUAUGACAAAAUUUAGGGGUAAAAAUGUAAUUUUUUCUAAAUAUGAUUUUUGGGCUGAGUUGAUUAUUAUAAUGAUUAAAUAAGUUAAAUGUGAUAUUUUAGAUCAAGAAAAACAAGGUUCGAUCUAGAUUGAGGAAAAAUAAGUAAUUGACGAAUAAUUCUUUUUUACCGAUUUUACUUUCAAGGUAAGUUUGUAUGUAAAUACUGCAUCAUUUUUACUUACGUUAUCACAUUUUAUUAUGUUUUAUGAAAUGUGGCUGAAUAUUGAAUGAAAUUGACAAGUAUCGAAAAGUAAAAAAUUUCCCGGUUGAACAUUAGGAAUAGAAUAGAAUACAAGUGACAUGUUACUAGUGACUCAGUGCGGUACCAUGUGAAGGCCACUUUGAGAAGAGAUAGCUUGGUCACAAGUGUGGUACUAUGUGAAGGCCACUUUAUGAAGAAAAAUAGCUUUGGUCACAAGUGUGGUACUAUGUGGAGGCCACUUUGUGAAGAAGGUAGCUUUGACUACAAUGGUGGUACUAUGUGCAGGCCACCGGGUAUCCGUUAUUAUUCUGAUGUAUUCAACAGGAAAUGACUAGGUUUAAUUGAAUAAGACUAUGUGAUGAAUAAUUGCAGUAUGUGUGUGUAAACUUAUGAGCAAUGUGCUCGAUAUGUGAUCGAACUUUGGUAAGAUUCAUAUGAAGUGAGUGUUACAAUGAAAGUUACUACAAAAAAAACAUGAAAGAGUGAAAUUUAGUUAAUAAAACAGUUUUGGAUAGCAGUAGUUGUGUGACUUUGAAAAAUCACCAAAAAUGGUGGAAAUAGAUUAGAGGUUGAAUAAGAUAUAAAAUUAAAGCUUAUUGAGUCUAUUUUCAUAUAAAGAAAAUGGUGUAAGCAAAAGAAUUUCAUAUCAUGAGAUAUUUGAAUUUUUGUGAGACAAGUCAGAAUGAUUUCGGAAUCCCCUGUUCUGAUUUGAGAAAAAAUAAUUAUGGGUUAUAAUUUAUAUGCUUAAAAUCCUUAAUGAGUCUAUUUUUAAAAGAAACAAAUGGGAAUAUCAUCCGAAUCACGUAUGAGGAGAUAAUUAAAUUUUUAGUUAAGAGGGGUCGAAACUGUCAGACAGCGAAACAAGGAUGAAUUUAAAGAAUAAAGUAUACUUAUUGGCCAAACCAAAAAUUCUGAAAAUUUUAUGGUAAUAAUAUAUGCGAGUCUAGUUUCUGGAAAAAUUAGCGGAUCUUAAUUUGGAGUUCCAUAGCUCCAGAUAUAAAUAAUUUAGUAACUGUGACUCGAAUAGACAACUUGUUUUGAACUUGAGUAAAUAGUGGAAUUAUAUGCAAUUAUGAUUGUAUUACCUUGAGAACAUAUUGUGAGAAUUGGUGAAAACAUGUUAAUAAAUUGCUUAUUAUUUUCAUACAGGCUUACUAAGCUAUAUAGCUUACCCCCUCCCUUUUCCUCAUUUUAUAGGGUCACUAAGCUAGCUUAGGUUGGAGAUCGUCGGAGAUUCUAUCACACUAUCAAGCUAUCAUUUGGGUAUAAGUGAAUACAAGUAUUUUAAGUCUAUGGCGUGUAUAGAGACUUAGUCAUUUGGUGUAUGAGUCAUUACGAUUUGGCUAAAUGUAUUAGCUUGUGAUGGCUAAAAGUUGGAUGUAAUUCGUAGCCAUGCAAAUUGGCUUAGAUUGGCUAAAUUGUUGUAAGCCCAUAUAAGUAUGUAUGUGCAUAUGUCAAUGUUUUGCUAUGUGGUUUAUAUUUGCUUAAUAUAUGAUGGUUACGAGUUUAUUCAUAUGUUAAUGCCCUUUGAGUGCAAACUUAGCAUGGAAUGAUUUGGCAAGGCCUAAUGUUAUAAUUCAUGAUAGUUAAUGGUAUGAAAAUGAUAAGGUAUUGCUUAAUUGUAGUUUUUUUUUAGGGCAUUUAUAUGCCAUGAUUUGUGCCAUGUAAUGUUGUGUGAAUAUGUGUAAGGGUGACAAAAUGGCUUGAAAAAUAGCCCUGUAUUUGUCUACACGGGUAGACACAUAGGUGUGUGUCUAGGUCGUGUUUGACACAUGGUCAGCCUCAUGGGCGUGUGAUCUAGCCAUGUAUCCCCUUCACCUUAAUUUAAGCAAAACAAAAUGUCCAUAAUUGAGCACACAGGCAGAGACACGAGCAUGUGCAUCAGUCGUGUGUGCUACACGGCCUAGCACACGAGUGUGUGACUUGGCCGUGUGACCUAAAUUUGAUGAUGACAUCAUAAACAUAAUGCACCCUAAGAUGGACAUGGCCUGAAGCACAGGCGUGUGAUAUGCCACACAGGCGUGUGGACCAAUUUCAUGAUGAAAAUUUCUAAAUUUCCCGAGAGUUUUUAAAGUUCUCGGUUUAGUCUCGAAUCAUUCCUAAUAUAUGUUUUGGGCCUCGUAGGCUCGUUUAAGGGACGAUAUGAAUGUUUACGAAAAGUUUUAAAUUUGAGUGAAAAUUCAUGUCUCGAUUUUGUAUGAAUGUUUAUGUUUAAGUCUGAUAAUGCCUCGUACCCUAUUCCGGCGUCGAAUACGGGUAAGGGGUGUUACAUGUAUACAGUAGGUGCAGAAAAGAUGAAGAAAAUAAGAAAGAGAAUAAAGGAAGUGAAAUAUUGCCAUGGCAAAAGGUUGGAUGGAUUGCCAACAUAAAUGUUAUGGCAAUUCCAGGAUAAUGCUGAUAACUCUUGAAAAGAGUUAUAUUUCUAGCCUCUAAACUUGAUUGAAUGUAUGUACUUAAGUAGAUAUAUUUGCAUCUUUAGGUUAAUUUUAGAACAUUGCAUAAUAACACUUAGAUUGUGUCUUGAAUGUAAUUUUAUGUUAUUUUUCCUGUUGAGAGAAAGAUAAUUGAUUGUUGUAUACAAUAGGUGCAACAAAUAUGAAGAAAAUGAGAAAGAGAAUGAAGGAAGUGAAAUAUUGCCAUUGCAAAAGGUUGGAUGGAUUGCCAACAUAAAUGCCAUGGCAAUUCCAGGAUAAUGCUGACGUAGCACUUAGUCCUCGUCCCUUUCAGCCAGCUGUCCAUGUACCAGAUAAAUCCACCUCAAAAGAGGGAGAAAGAGGGACCUACCCUAUAAAAGAGGAAAGAGAAAAUAAAAGACGAGAAGAUUUUUUAGAGAGAGGAAUUAGAAAAGAUUUAGGGAUUAGUUUUCUAUUCAAAAAAAUCUGGUGGAAAAUUCUAGAGAGAAAUAAAGGGUAGCAACUUAAGAUAGCAUAAUACAGACGCGAAGAAGGGGGAAAUAGUUAACCUGGAUUCACGUACAAUCUGAAGAUAAAAGAAAAAGCUGGAAUAUGGUGAGAAUUCUUGCAUUUCUGCCUUUAUUUUCCUUAUUUCUGUUAUUUAAACCUAUUUGAGAAUGUUAAUGAAUGAUUUUAUUUUUAUGUUAACUUUUCCACCCAUGAACUAAAUCUUUUCUGGGUUGGAGUUAUUCGAGCGAAUGUUUUAUCAUCUUUAAUGCCCAUGAGUUGAGAUUGUUUGUCACUGUUUCAUUCGAUUUAUGCUUAUUUUAAAUACAUGCAUGCAAGCUCUAGACAUAGUUGAUUGUGUGUUGUGUUCUUAGAUCUAUUUUUAAUUCUAAAAAGGUUAAAUAUACUGGAUCUUGAAUCGUUUCUUGCAAGCGAAUACUAGACAGAAUAUUCGUAGCACUCUAGACAUGGAUGUUGUGAGUUGUAUAGAGAAGAACAUUCAUGGUAGUUAUUAAUCCAGAGUUCUGUAGACAUACAGUAACUUAGAUUUCUAGCUUAAGAUCUAGCUAUCGAAAGAGGCAGGUUACAGUAGUGACUCUCUAAGUAGUUGAUUACACAAUAUUUUUUCAUGGCUUUAUUUUGAUAUGAACAUUUCACCUGAAUAAUUUCAACCCUAUUCAUUUAACAAUAGAAUUACUCUUGCUUUUCUCUAUAAUUUGCCACAGCAUUUAUUUGCCAUAUCAAUUCUUUGCUUUUAACAUUUCAUUUCACUAAUUCAUUAUACAAACAUCUUGAUCAACUUGAAAGUAUUUCCUACUAUUUAGUAUAAUCAAUAAGAUUAUAAUAACUUACUCAAUUUCCAAUUUUUUAUCCCCGUGGAGACGAUACUUACUUAUCACUUUAUUACUUAAAUGGCGUGUACAAUUGCACAAUUGCAUUAGUUAUUUACACACAACAUAUGUGCAAACCGAAAGCAAUGGGAGGUCUAGGUUUUAGAGAUUUGGCUAAGUUUAAUAUCGCAUUGCUUGCAAAAUAAGGAUAGAAGUUAACGAUGCAACCGGAUUUCUUUUUACUAGAAUAAUGAAAGGUAAAUACUACCCAAAUAGUGAAUUUUUAAAAGCAAGUUUAGGUUCUCACCCAUCUUAUACCUGGUGGAGCAUAUAGAGCGUAAGAAGACUCCUAGAUGAGGGUUUGGGUUGGAGGGUUGGUGAUGGAAAAUCCAUUAAUGUUUGGAAUGAGGCGUGGAUUCCAAGACCAGGGCCAGGAAGAAUCACAUGUCAGACCAUUGAUAUAAACUAUACAACAGUUGCUGAUUUAAUUAACAAUGAACAGUCUACCUGGAAAACGGAGGUCCUAGGAAAACUUUUUUACAAAGACCAAGUACACAGAAUCAUGACCAUUCUCGUUGCAGGAAUCGAUAUCAAGGAUGUCAGAGUAUGGAGAGGUGAUAACACAAGUAUGUACUUAGCUAAAAGUGGGUACAAAUAGCUAAAUAAAGAAGAUAUAGUGAUACUGCAAAGGACUAUAACCCUCCCCCAAUAGACCUAUAGACUCUCUACAACAGACUCUAGAACUUACAACUAGCAAGCAUGGUUAAAAUUACAUUCUGGAAAAUAGUAAACAAUUACAUGUCUAUAUUCAAUAAUUUACAGGCAAUAAAUCUGUUAGUAACGAAUAUCUGCCCACUAUGUCGAGUAAUGGAGGAAUUAGUGGCUCAUGUUUUCUGGGAAUGCAUGAUUUCAAAAGAUAUCCUACUAGGAGUGGGGAUUGAUACUUCUCCAAGCUCCCAAGGACAAUAAUGGAAAAUGUAGUUAGCAGAGAUUUUUACCAACAUGAAUGAAGAACAAAGAAAAUGCCUAACAAUAUCCUUCUGAGCGAUAUGGAAGACAAGAAAUAAGGUCCAUCAUCAAGGAGAAAAUUUGAACACAUUUGAGGUAAUAACAUUUAUUAAAGCAUAUCAGGAAGAAAGCAAUAUCAUUAAUACAGAAACUUCAACAUCUACUAGACAAAUCAACAUUAUGUGGGUUCCACUGAGAGCAGAUAUGAUAAAAUGCAAUUUUGAUGCAGCAUUUUGCAACAAUACAUUCAAAUCAGUGAUGGGAAUAUUGUCCAGGGACUGUGAAGAUAAUAUAUUGGUUGCAUGGACUCACCACAACACCUUUAUAGUAGAUGCCACCACGGUAGAGGCGAAAGAAUGUCUUUAGGCAGUUUCGGUGGCUGAGGAGCUGGGUUUUCGAAAUAUGAUAGUGGAAGGAGAUUCCUUGACAGUAAUCAAAAAAAUAUGGUAUUGCGGUGAUUAUUCAAGAAAUAAAAGAAAGAUGUCGGAGAUUCGAAAAUGUUACCUGCUCUUUCGCUGGAUGAACAGCAAACCAAACGGCGCACGUAAUGGCAGAGGAAGGGAAGAACUGGCCAGGAACAAAGGUAUGGAUUGAUGAGGGCCCUCAAAGGGUAGAGUUAGCGGCUAAAAGAGACAGAAAUUUUUUGAACAGGAUUUGAAAUGGGUUGGAAGAAAUGAAAAACGAAAGGUUUCGUCGGUUUCUUUUUUCUACAAGAACUUUCAUGGAGGACGCUAAAAGUACAGAUCAUUCCAGGGUGGAACGAUGGUGGUAGAUGAAAGAGUGAAUUGCCAAAAGAGAAACUACUGGGUUUUUUUUCUAGAAACUAGGAUGUAGUCAAUUUUUAGGGUUUGCUUCUUUUAUGUUGUUUAUUUGUUUCUUUUAAGACUGGACGAUUUAAGUCCUUUAAGAACUAAGUAGGGUACAACUUUUGCAUUAAUUAGGAUUAGCUCCAUCAAUUUUAAUGGCAUCCAUAUCUUAUUCUAAAAAAAAAAAAAAAAAGACAUGAUGACAUUCAAAAUAGAUACACAUUCUUUUCUGGUAAUCUUUUUUCACUUAUUUCUUUCUUGGUUUGUGUGUCAUUAUUUCAUUGAGUAAAAAAAUAUUUUAAAUAAAAGUCUACAAGUUUUAUUCGAAAAUCAAAAACAAGAAAUAAAAAUUGUAUUUUUC